UUUUUUUUUACUUCUUCCCAUUAUAUGUAAUAUUUAUGACUUUUAAAUAUACGCAGUUCCAUUCAGAGAGGAUCAGCCUACAAUUGAAUAAAUGAAGCUAAAAAUGAAACUGACGGAAUUUUUGUUUCUUGUUUCGUUAUUAUUUGGGGAAAGUUCACAUGCUCCUGCAGGUAAGUGUAAUUUAAGGUUAUAAUAGUUGAUAAAUGUUGAAUAAUAAUAUAUAAUUACAUUUCUUCAAAAGAAUAUUAAUAUUUAGAUUUCUAAGUAUGGAUUUAGGUCUUAAUACACGUUACAUUAAUGUGUUAACCUCCUAUUAUUGACAAGGUAUAUAAUAAUGUACAAGAAUAUUUAAAACAGGAAAAAACAUAUACUCAAAUUAACCCGUAAUUUACUGGUUCUGUCAUAAAUGUAAUUAUAAAGACACUUCAGAGCGUCAUACCUACAAACAAAUGGUCCGAGACCACCAUUGUCGUCCCUUGAUUUUCGUUGUUCACAAAUAUAGUCCCUUGUGUUGACAGUGGGUUACUUGCCAUUAAUUUUUAUACUGCUUCCAAAUUUAUUUCUCCAUGUUUAAUGCCUCAAACUGCAAGUAGGGGGUGGGUGUGAAAUUACACUGUUAAAAAAAAUUUGGGUCCAGAAUUUUAAAGGCAAGUAGUGAUUUGGUCCAGCUGCAAAAAGUUUAAAAUUAGCACUUCGGAGGCUGUCAAAAGAUUUCAAGACGCCCUAAACAUAAAAUUGUCCAUAUUUUGAGUUAGAGACGAUGAAGUUUUUUUUUAUAAUUUUUGAUAUAAUUUGUCCCAAAAGUAGUACAACAAAUAAAAGUUUCUUUGAGAAAGCGCAGGUGGAAUUUUUUUAUUUUCAUUUAUGUUCUAAAAGAAAUGCACUACGAAAUAAUUGUAGUCUCGGAGGUGAAAUCUGUAAAUGUAGAAUCUGUACUUUGGCAGCUUCCCUACAUGAUUUGAUGGUAUCAAUGUGUCAAAUAGCAUGAAACUAAAGGAUUGGAACUUUUAUUUUAUAGAAUAUCUGCAAACAUGACCAAUUUUCGCAUUUUAUGGUCAAAAUAGGCAUUUUAUAACUUUUUCAAUAUUGAUGCAUAAAUGGCAUCCUGAGCUUCUAUCUGACAGGUUUUCAUGUGUCAGUAUUUGUGUUUCUAUGCUUUUAUCUACUUCUUUUACUUAUUUUUGAACUCUGAAUCUACAGAAAAGAAGAUUAUCUCAGACAAAAUGUGCAAAAUGUGUUGAGCUUGGUACAUAAAAUGUGAUGGCCAUAAUAAAGACCUCACUAAAUUUGUAUAAAAUGCACUUUACAAUGUCUAUUGUACCUGUUCCAUUUCAUAUAAUAUCUUUCUUUUCUUCUGUUGGAUAGCAAGUGGUUUAAAUAUAAGCCUGUUGAGAAUGAAUUGCAUGCAAGUUUUUCCCUAAAAAGGAAAAAAUCUUUGUAUCAGACCAUACUGUUUGUAAGAAAAGUCUUUUUGUGCUCAGAUUUGUUGUAUCAUGUCACAUGAGUAUAGAAAUGAUAAAAAAGACACAAUUUUUUUAAUUUCUUAUAGCCUUAAUAUGCAUUUUUUAAUGUAAAUAUGUGGCACGGCCUAAAUUGACCCUAAUUUUUUUCCAGUCUUACUUGACCUAAGACCCUUUUACACUAAUAUAAUAUGUUAUUUGUAACUUUUCUUUACAUUUAAAGUACUUUCCAUACAUAUGUACGGAUUAUAAGGAUUAUUUAUAACCAAAAAGCUUCACAAAUUUAAAAUUGCUGGAAAAUAUUACAUCUUCAUGUAAGGCUCCCCUUCAUUGAAAAACCUCAUUUUUUAGGAGCAGGCUUAUAUAAAUUUGUCUUUUGAAUAAUUAUGCCAAGUCUGAUAAAUCAAAUGAGUACUCUAUUGCUUUUAGUACAUGAUACGUUAUAUAUUAAGGCAUUUAAAAGUAUUUUUUUGAAAUAUUUUAAUUUUUAAAGCCCCAAAUGUUGAUAGUUGAAAUUUUUCAAUUUUAACGUCAAAAUUUUACACGCAAAGAUGAGUAUAGAACUUAACUUAAUGUCUAUAAUAUACAUCCUAUUGUCAUGCAACUUUGUAAGCAGUGUUAUUAUUCAUUAAGCUUUGGCCAUACCAAGUUUUGUUAAGAUUUAUCAACUCUUUCUACAUUAUUAGGUCCGAGACCACUGAUUUUAUAAAUUUUUAUAGUUAUCAUAUCAAAGUUUGUUGCAAAUCUACAACUUCCUCAGAAGCGUUUCUUUUUCUUGGUGGUGAUAUUACAUUUCUUCCAUCUACCACUUUCCAAUGCAUACAUGAUUUGACUACUUCAUAUUUAUUAGAAGUAAAUUGAGUAUGUACUCUUGAUUAAAGUUGAUAUCAUUACUGAAUAUUAUUAUGUACUCACAAGUCACUGACAUAUGCAUUUUUAACAGGUUUCCUUUAUACAAACACUGAUAGGGGAAUUUUAUUAUUAUGAACGACUGGAAAAAAAACAUACGCAAUGUGUUUCACCAUUAAUAGGUUUAAUUAAACGAUGCGUUUGUAUCUUAACCCAUGCGAGUUAUGUUUGAGAGGUUUUAGAUGUUAGGAUACAUUGUAUCUUAACUCAUGAAAGAUAUGUUUGAGAGGUUUUAGACGUUAGGAUACCAUAAUUUCAUUUCUUCACAAGGAUAUUUACAUUUUGAUUUCAAAGUGAUGUGUUAGGUCUAAAUAAAUGUUACGGCAAAGUUGAAACAUCCUGUUAUUUACAAGGUACAUAAUACUGUACAGGAAUAUUUAAAACAGGAAAACUAUAUGCUUGACAUAACCCGUAGUUUAUUGAUUGUGUCUUAAAUGUUAUUAUAAAGACUUCAGAGCUUCAUACCAACAAUCAAAUAUCCAAAUUUAUGUACAUCUACCCGCUAACUUGCGUUAAAAUCUUAAUGGAAAAAGAGAUUUGUUUCUUGUUUUGUUUAAAACCCUAACUUUGUAUUUUUAUAGUUAUCAUACCAAAAUGUGUAGCAAAUCUACAAAUUCCCGUGUAGCGUUUCUUUUUCUUGGUGAUUAUAUUACAUUUGCUCUAUUUAUCGCUUUCCAAUAAAUAAAUGAUUUGACUACUUCACAUUUCUUAGAAGUAAAGAGUAUGCACUCUUAAAGAAAGUUUAUAUCAUAACUGAAUAUCAUUAUGUACUGCAAACACGGAUAGAGGAAUAUAAUUAGUACGAACGAUUAAUAGGUUGACUGAUACAAUAAGUCUGUAUCUUAACUCAUGAGAUAUAUGUUUGAGAUAUGCUAUAUUAGACCUUAAGAGACAUCGUAUAUUACCUCAUGAGAGAUAUGUUUUAGAGGUAUCAGACCUUAAAAUACACUGUAUCUUAACUCAUGAAAGAUAUGUUUGAGAGGUAUCAGACCUAAAAUACACUGUAUCUUAACUCAUGAAAGAUAUGUUUGAGAGGUAUCAGACCUUAAAAUACACUGUAUCUUAACUCAUGAAAGAUAUGUUUGAGAUGUUUUAUACCUUAACAACACUGUAUCAUAACUAAUGUGAGAUGUGUUUGAGAUGUAUUAAACCUUAAGAUACACUGUAUCUUAAUGCAUGGCAGAUAUGUUUGAGAGAUAUCAUACCUUAAAAUACACUGUAGCUUAACUCAUGAAAGAUAUGUUUGAGACAUAUAAGACCUUAAAAUACACUAUAUUUUAACUCAUGAAAGAUACGUUUGAGAGGUUUUAGACCUUAAUAUACACUAUAUUUUAAACUGAUGAAAGAUAUGUUUGAGAGGAAUUAGACCUUACGACACACUGUAUCUGAACUGAUGAGAGAUGUGUUUGAGAGGUAUUAUGCCUUUUAAGAAACACAGAAUCUUAAUUCAAGAGAGAUUUGUUUGAGCAGUAUAAGACCGUAAUAUACCCUGUAUCUUCAAAAUGUUCAACUCAUGAAAGAUAUGUUUGAGAGAAUUUUAACCUUACGAUACACUGUAUCUGAACUGAUGAGAGAUUUGUUUGAGAGGUAUUAUGCCUUUUAAAAAACACUGUAUCUUAACUCACGAGGGCUAUGCUUGACCGGUAUUACACCGUAAUAUACACUGUAUCUUAACUCAUGAAAGGUAUGUUUGAGAUGUAUUAGAUCUAAAGAUACACUGUAUCUAAACUCAAUUGAGAGAUAUGUUUGACGGCAAUUAGACCUUAAAAUGCACUGUAUCUUAACUGAUAAGAGAUGUAUCUUAGUGUUACAAGACCUUAAGAUAAACUGUAUCUUAACUCAUGAGACAUGUUUGAGAGAAAUUUGACCUUAAGGUAUACUGUAUCUACUCAUGAAAGAUGUGUUUGAGAGAUAUUAGAACUUAAGAUACACUGUAUCUCGACUUAAAAAAGUUAUGUUUGAGAGAUACUCUUUGAGGUAUUUUAACCCAGGACAGAUAUGUUUGAGAGGUAUUAGACCUUCAGAUACACUGAAUUAUAAUUCAUAAGAGAUAUGCUUGAGGAAUAUUAAACCUUAAGAUACACUGUAUCUUAACUGAUGAGGGGUAUGCUUGAGAGGUAUAAGACCUUUAGCUACACUGGAUCUUAACUCAUGAUAUAUAUAUAUUUGAGAGAAAUUAAAAUUGAGAGACGAUAAAAAACGUUGUGAAAUCUUUUAUUUUACAAAUUAUGUAUAAUUCCUUACCUUGACAUUUUAAUUGUAUCUGCAAAAAUAUGGCUCGGUUAUGGGUGUUAACUUUGAUUUGUAAGUGUUGACUAAGACAAAUCAUCUAACACAAAACAUGUAUGUGUAAUUAUAUCCGCUGUCUAUUUAACAUUUAACAGUUACAAAACAAGGCAUCUUUUUUAAAGCACUUUAAAGAAUUGUGAUUAUGAUAAUUAGAACAUAUUCUGGGUUAUCUAUGAUAAAGAUAGCUUCGUUCUCAUCCCAUAUGGAGUUUACUUAUCCCAUAUGUAUCUCAUUAUGUCACUAGCACACUGUGCAACUAAUUUAUCUUACCGACUUUCUUAACAUGUGGCGUUUAGACUAGUUGCCUAUCAAAAUUAUUAAGUCUUCAAGAUGAAAUAUAAAAAAAACCUACUUUCAUUGGUCUAUACCACAAUAAAUGCCAACAUUAACAUGUGUUAGCUUUUAGUGCGUUUUCUGCAUUUUUUUUUCAAUUGGUCAUCAUCGAUGUUUUUAUUUUUUGUCCGGGCGAAACGUUUUAAAAUUUCCUCAACUCCGUGUGGUUUGUAUAAAGAGAAGUAACACUAAAAAUACCCGUGUAGUGAAAUAAACCAGGCCUACCUACCCCUUGCUAAAUAUACUGACAUUCCUUGAAAUCAUAGGAGGCAAGAUAAUCCAAAACAUUUAACCAACUCAUUGUCAAUUUUAAAGGGGAUGACUUAAACUUUACCCGAAUUAAUCCUUGGUGUAAUAGCUUCCUGUAAGGUUAAACUUUUCCAUUCGUAAAUUCUUAUAAGAAAUGCAAGCUCUGGAAGAGACAUAUAUUCUACAGUUAUGCUAAUCACAUAAUUAUACAUUAGUAUUCCUAACCUUAGUUAAACAAUUAAACUAUCGAUACCACUUGUUUAUGAUACCUUUAACAUUGUCAAUGUAACCUUCAGUGGUAUUGUAUAUACUGAAUAAUUUUCUUUUCUUUGCAUAAAUUGUAGACGUAUUCAUGAUUAACGAAUGCGCAAGUAGUCCGUGUCUUAAUGGUGGAUAUUGUCUGAACGUUGUAAAUCAUUUUAUAUGUUAUUGUCUACCUGAUUACACUGGUGAAAGAUGUCAGACGAGUAAGCUUGUUAUUCAUUGUUUAAAGUCUGUAGCAAAACUGCCUAAGUGUAGUGUUUUUUUUUUUUUUUUUCUACAACUGUUGUUUUCAUAGAAAGAGGGAAAUACAUGACAUAAUAUAUUUCAUUGGUAUAUUUGCAGUUUAAUAAAAAGGAGUAAAAAAAAACAAUAAAUUAACUGCAAAUUGCAAACUUUAACCAACAGCUUAAAUUAAAUAUCGACAAAUUAGUCCUGGUGCCAAAUUUUAAAAUCCUGCCAUAGUGAAAUUCUCUCAUAACGAUUAUAAUUUUACUUUAUAUCUCCUUUUUGUUUUGCCAAAAUCAAAAAAGUAAAACAAACACUGUGAAAGGUUAGAUUGAGCAGACACCGAUUUAUUUAAAUGUGUCUAAAACAUUAAAACAUUACACAGGCCGCCUGAUGAAGCAUAACCAAAUCCGUAUAUGUAAAUCAAUUCUCAAAGUUCAAUAAAUCACGUAUGGUCUCGUUUGUAUAUCCAGUUCAAAGUUUAGUUCAUAAGAUAACUAGCAAUCUUGUUUAUCCACCUUUCUGACCCUUUUUUAUACAUUUAACAUUUAUUUUUUAACUACAAUUUUAAAGAUUUAAAUUGAAAGGCCAUACUAAAAUAGUGAACAAAUUCAAAUGCGUUUAUCUUCUAAUCAUUUACUACCAUUUGUCAUUAAAAACAAACUCGACCAGAACAUUAUUUUUUAUUUUAUCUAAUGUUAUUUGUAAAAUUGAACAAUUUUAUUUUAGAAACUACAGAUAAUCAAAGAAUAACAAAUGUAAUCAAACAUACUUAUGAUCACUAAGAUCGAAUAUGUUUAAUAAAAUCAUCGGGUGUGCUUAACAAUGUUGACAAACACGCAGAAAAAUAAAGAAACAUCAGAGCAAAUGUGUUAUAGAUGAAAUUGAGCAAUCAAUGAAAAUAUCCUACGGAAAAAGUAACACUUUUUUUAAUGCGUCUGAGGCGCUAUUCUGGAUUUACGCUCGUUAUACACUAACAAACAUGAGCCAAUGGUUAUUGGUACCUGAACAUAGGAACUGUGCUAUCUGGUCAAAUGUAAAGCAUAUGACAAGCAUGAUAAUGUUCUACAAUUGGAACUUAUUAAUGCUGUGCGUCAUUCCCCUCUUAUAUUAAAUGCGUUUCCCACAGUUUUGGUUUGUGAAUCGGAUUUGUUUUUUUUUCUAUCGAUUUAUGAGUUUUAAACAUCAGUAUACUUAUGUUGCCUUUAUUUAAUGCCUUACUAACAGUUUUCACGUUAUUACUUUUACAGGUUCAGCAGCAGUAGGAUGAAAAAUUAAUACCCACAGAAAGCAUUCAAAAUAUAUAUAUAAUAUUAAAAAGAUAUGUUAUAAUUUUGUAUUUUUUUAUGACACAUAUAUAUUUCACAGACAUUGAUUUU
rnacentral:lncRNA from 1 species